rnacentral:rRNA from 1 species
GACGAACGCUGGCGGCGUGCUUAACACAUGCAAGUCGAACGGAGAGGCCCUGCUUUUGUGGGGUGCUCGAGUGGCGAACGGGUGAGUAACACGUGAGUAACCUGCCCUUGACUUUGGGAUAACUUCAGGAAACUGGGGCUAAUACCGGAUAGGAGCUCCUGCUGCAUGGUGGGGGUUGGAAAGUUUCGGCGGUUGGGGAUGGACUCGCGGCUUAUCAGCUUGUUGGUGGGGUAGUGGCUUACCAAGGCUUUGACGGGUAGCCGGCCUGAGAGGGUGACCGGCCAAAUUGGGACUGGGAUACGGCCCAGACCCCUAGGGGGGGCAGGAGGGGGGAAUAUUGCAAAAGGGGGGGAAGCCUGAUGCAGAAACGCCGGGGGGGGGAGGAGGGCCUUGGGGUUGUAAACCGCUUUCGCCGGUGACGAAGCGGGGGUGACGGUAAUGGGGAAAGAAGCACCGGCUAACUACGU